rnacentral:miRNA from 1 species
UAACUCAAGGCGGUUUUCAUG